AUGAAACAACUAUAUUUACAUUUCCUCCGGGAGAGCCAACGCAGCACUGCACGGAGUUCUCCUAAAGCAACAGCAUGUACCAACCAGGAGCUCAGUUUCAAAGCAGCACCACUGGAGAGGAGGAAAAACACACGAUCGCCUAGGCAGGGUACUGGAAGCGCUGCCAUCAGCGCAAAGCCAACCUCGGGGUGGACUACAUUCAGCAGCAACACUGGUUAUAUAUGGAGAACAGAAAACAAGAAGACCCAAGCCCAAGAAAAAAAGCAGACAGAAGUCCUAACUCCUCUUCAUGCAAGAAGACAUCUUAAUGUAGGAGGGACUUUCUUCCUUCUUACUGCUUGGAGCUGAACCAAAGAGGAACAACUGAGGUAACUGAGCAGAACUGAGCAGUCAACUGUGCUCUAGAAAUGAGAGUUCCUCAUACAGGUAUUUACAUGAGCCACUGCAACUCAGACAGCAUCUGUCUACAGGUUGACAAAUCAGUCAUCUUUAUGCCUUCCUUAGAAGAAACCAUUGAUAUUUGUAACAUUGAAUCUAUUAUUCUGAAUAGAACAAGCACACUUUUAUGGACCUAAUGCUAUAGGAAACUAACUACUGCUUGAAUUACUUUCUGUAAUCCAGACAAGCUUUCAAAUAAAUUCAUUUUUGGGGGGAUUUUUCAUCUAAGUCUCUCUUCAUAUCCUUACCUUUGUCCUUGUUAGUGAGCCAUUCUGCUACAAGCUGGGUUUCUUUGGUCUUUCUAUGAGGCUGCAGACCAUGUGUAUGAGGUGUUGACAACACGUAGACAGGACUUCCAGUCUGAGUGUUGGCCAUUGUUUUACUACUUUUUGAAGACAACCAUAUACUCUAGGCCAAGUGCAUAGGGGAAAAUGCGUAUAAGAGAAAAAAGUUGUAAGAACUUUUUAAAAAGUGAAAGAGGGAGAAGCAUCUGUGUGAUUUAAAAUGCAAGCACUGCCAAACAGAAAACAUUCAAAGUCCUGGCAUUCAUUGAUUAAAUGUCAUUUUGCCACAUGUGCACUUGAAAACAGCUCUCCUAGCUGUCAAAAACCAGGUGACAUUGAUUCUGUUUCCCAAGUUCAGAAAAUGUGUCUCAAGUGAUUGAAUCCCUAGGAAGAAGAGUCAUGGAGAAAAUCCAAAACAGUAUUUUCUUUUCAUGUGGAUUUUACUGUUCAGGGAAUAUAGAUGCAAACUGAAUAUAAUCUUCAGUGAAGGGGAAUAAAUUAAUAAAAUACUAGAGUAAAUGUCUAAGCUUUUUUAUUCACUAGUGUUCUAGUUUCAUGCUUUUUAAAAUAACACUGAAAUUAAUGAAUAUAUGUGAUUUUAG
rnacentral:lncRNA from 1 species